GACACACAGACAGACACUCACAACACGGAGCUGUUACUGGAUCAGAAUGGGCGGUCCUGCUCAUAACCGAUCCGUAAACGGGCUCUGUCAGCAGGUGGCAGCCGCGUAUCGUGGAAGAACGAGAGACCAUCACCUCAGCCCAUCCCAGAAACAAACUGCACCCACAGUGAAUUAGGGAAAUGGAACAGCUAAUAUGCACAAAGUACGAUCUUGAAAAGUACAAACAGAAAAUAAAAUGAUUCGUUGGUUAAUA